UUCUUGAAAACUAAAAUUGUUGGCGGUAUUUUAGUCUAUUCAGAGGAACCUGUCCUAUAAUUGAUAGUCCACGAUUUUAUAGACUUAUUUUAUAUUAGUUUGUAUAUCGUCGUAGAUUGAAUAUUUUAGUAAAAUUUAAAUAUUCAAGAUUUUUUUAAGAAAAGAAUUCAGAUCAAGAUAUAGCUUAUAGAUAAGAAGAGAUGGGUUACAAUAAAUUUAUUUAUAUGGAAAUUUUAUUUUAAAUUAAUUUGAAAGUGGAUUUGAAAGUAAUUAUAAAAAUUUAUUUAUAAUGAUUUUAGCUCUAAAAUAUGCACAUAUCGCCCGUCACUUUCAUUAUAAAAUGAAAUAAGUCGUAACAAAGUAGAUGUACUGGAAAGUGUAUCUAGAAGCAAAUUAAAGCUUAUAUAGCAUUUUAGUUACAUUAAAAAGAGUAUUUAGAUAAAUAUAAUUUGAAAUUUAGAAAUUAUUAUAUAAAAUUUUAUGUGUUAAAUAUAUAAAUAGAUUUAAAGAAAAAAAUUUCAAUUUUAUUAUUAAAAAGAAAAAAUAUAAGUAAUUAUAGGGUAAUAGUAUUGUGAAAGAAAUUCUUUUAUUUAAUAAAAAGAAGAGUUUAGUUUUUGUACCUGGGUAUCAGGGUUUAUUAAGUAAAUUUUAUGUAUUUUAAUUUUCUCGAAUUUAAAAGAGUUAUAUCUUUAUAUUUUUUAUUGUAGAAUAAAUAUUAUUCAUACAGAUAUAGAAGUGAAACGUUAGUCGAUUUUAAAUAUAUCUAGUUUUUUAAGAUAAAAUUUAAUUUUAUUUUAAAUAGAUUAUUAAAUUUAUUUUUUAGUUUAAUAGUUUUUAGAUUUAAUAUUUUUAGGGAUGAGCUUAAGAAUAUAUUUAUAUAAUAGAUAUGGUAAUUAAUUUAAUAAAUAGAAUUAUAAGUUUUUAUUUUUUUUAGUGUUUUAUAACUAUUUAAAUUAUAAAUAAGAUUUAUAUACACAUAUAUUUAUAUAGUUUAUUAAAAUAAAGUUUAUAAUUGUAAAUAACUAGUAAUAAUGAUAAAAUUAGUAUAAUUUUAUUUAUAAAUAAAUUAUUAUUUUUAGGUUUUUUAAAGGAAUUCGGCAAAUAUAUUUUUCACCUGUUUAUUAAAAACAUGUCUUUUUGAAUAUAAUUUAAAGUCUAGCCUGCCCAAUGAUUAAUAUUAAAUGGCCGCGGUAUUUUAACCGUGCAAAGGUAGCAUAAUCAUUAGUUUCUUAAUUAGAAGCUGGAAUGAAGGGUUGGAUGAGAAAAUAACUGUCUCUAUAAAAAUUAUUUAGAAUUUUAUUUUUAAGUCAAAAAGCUUAAAUUUCUAUAAAAGACGAGAAGACCCUAUAGAGUUUUAUAUUUCUUGUAUUAAAUUUAUUUUAGAAUUUAA
rnacentral:rRNA from 1 species